rnacentral:rRNA from 1 species
UUUUUAAGACCCUUCCAUCAGGUGGGACUACCCGCUGAACUUAAGCAUAUCAAUAAGCGGAGGAAAAGAAACUAACAAGGAUUCCCCCAGUAACGGCGAGUGAAGAGGGAAAAGCCCAAAUUUGUAAUCUGGCUCUUUCACGAGGGUCCGAGUUGUAAUUUUGAGAACUGUUUUCUGUGCUGGACCAUUUCUAAGUCUGUUGGAAAACAGCAUCAUAGAGGGUGAUAAUCCCGUUUGUGAUAUGGACUACCAGGGCUAUAUGAUACAGUUUCUAAGAGUCGAGUUGUUUGGGAAUGCAGCUCAAAGUGGGUGGUAAAUUCCAUCUAAGGCUAAAUAUAGGUGAGAGACCGAUAGCAUACAAGUACCGUGAGGGAAAGAUGAAAAGAACUUUGGAAAGAGAGUUAACAGUACGUGAAAUUGUUGUAAAGGAAACAUUUAAACUUGUCGUUGUGCUUGUCAGUUCAGCCCUCUUAUCAGGGUGUAUUCUGGCAAAUCACGGACCAACAUCAGUUUUUGAGUGCUGGAUAAGGGUCUUGGGAAUGUAGCAGUUUUGGCUGUGUUAUAGCCCAGGAUUUAGAUACAGUGCUUAGGACUGAGAACAAUUUGCAGCAAGCCCUUUAUUGUGGCAGCCUAUCAUGGGCACCCAUGCUGAGGAUGUUGGUGAGAUACUUUAAAAUUGACCCAAA